AUGGCGCGCUGGGAAGGUUACAGUUUUGAAGACGCGGUACUAAUUAGCGAACGUUUGGUAGAUGAAGAUAUUUAUACCUCUUUUCACAUCCGGAAAUAUGAAAUUCAGACAGAUACGACAAGCCAGGGCGGAACAUUUACUCCGCAAUUUGGACAGAAAUGGAGUUGUUAG
rnacentral:rRNA from 1 species